AAGGAAGAGAAACAGAGGGCUGAGGGAGAAACAGAAGGCGACGACGGUUGAGUGGGGGAGCUGAGGGAAGAGAUGGGAGGGAGGCUUGUCACUGUUCUUGCUUCCUUUCAGAAGCAUAAAGAAAGAAAAGGCAGACCAAAGGGUCGCAUCAUGGCCCUCAUGUCCCCUCCCAGGUGUCCUCUGGCUGGGGAGGGGCUGUAGAAGCUGAGCCCCUGCUGACCCGCUGCCUGCCAGUCACCUGCCAGAGCUAUUUCUGGAAUGUGGAAACUGGGUCAGAAAGGAGGAGGGAGGGUGGCAGUGCUGGAGCCAGAGCUGGGAAGCUGUGAGUAGUGGGUGGGCAGCUACACGCCCCGCCCCCACGAGAGCAGUUGGUUCUGCCUAGGUGCCCACUGCCUCAAGAGCUACCCUGCACCCCCAUCUUCCCACCUACCUGCCUGCAUCUGGUCCUGUGAGCACAUGGGCUCAGGGUGGAGAAACAAACAGAGCUACAUGCCUCUCAGCCAACAACUCAGAACCAACACGGGAAGGCUGGGAAAUGGACGUAAAGGACCAUAUUCUAAUAGAAACCACUGUAUCAUGGUGACUUUUCAGCAGAUGGUGGCAGAGUGUCAUAGGAGACAGUGCCCUUUUUUAACUCGGCACAAAACUACCACACGGACCAGCUGCAGCUCUGGCCAGAAACCUGGAAAUCUGGUGCCUUUGGCUUUCCUGGGUGGCAGGUGAGUAUAUCUGCAGAGCACAAGAGGAGCAGAGGUCAAACCAGAGCAGGCUGCCCACCCGGAUAUUUCCUGUGCCCUCCCCUGGUGAACAGCCCGAAGUGGAAUGAACGCCAACCUCCUGCAUACGGUACUCACUU
rnacentral:sRNA from 1 species